rnacentral:rRNA from 1 species
CAAGGAAUUUUCGGCAAUGGGCGCAAGCCUGACCGAGCAACGCCGCGUGCGGGAUGACGGCCUUCGGGUUGUAAACCGCUUUUGGGAGGGACGACUUCGACGGUACCUUCCGAAUCAGCCCCGGCUAACUCUGUGCCAGCAGCCGCGGUAAGACAGAGGGGGCAAGCGUUGUCCGGACUGACUGGGCGUAAAGCGUCCGCAGGCGGCACGGCAAGUGUGGUGUGAAACCGCCCGGCUCAACUGGGCGACGCCACCGCAGACUGCCGCGCUCGAGGGGUGCAGAGGUGGGUGGAAUUGCCGGUGUAGUGGUGAAAUGCGUAGAGAUCGGCAGGAACACCAAGGGGGAAGCCAGCCCACUGGGCACACCCUGACGCUCAGGGACGACAGCGUGGGGAGCCAA